rnacentral:rRNA from 1 species
AUUGAACGCUGGCGGCAGGCCUAACACAUGCAAGUCGAACGCGUCUCGGACGUGUGAGUAUUUUCUGGGAAACUGCCUGAUCGACGGGGAUACCUCCUGUAAACCGUAUCUAAUACCGCCUACCAUCGUCUGUCCCCCGAUUGGAUUAGCUAGUAGGUGGGGUAAAGGCUCACCUAGGCGACGAUCCCUAGCUGGUCUGAGAGGAUGACCAGCCACACUGGAACUGAGAAACGGUCCAUACUCCGACGGGAGGCAGCAGUGGGGAAUAUUGCACAAUGGGGGCAAGCCUGAUGCAGCAAUGGCGCGUGUAUGAAGAAGGCCUUCGGGUUGUAAAGUACUUUCAGCGGGGAGGCGUUACCCGAAGAAGAAGCAACGGCUAACUCCGUGCCAGCAGCCGCGGUAAUAG